AUGGGAAGAGAGAGAGAGAGAGAGGUGGGAAGAGAGAGAGAGAUGGGAAGAGAGAGAGAGAGAGGUGGGAAGAAAGAGAGAGAGGUGGGAAGAGAGAGAGAGAGAGAGAGAGAGAGAGAGAGAGAGAGAGAGAUGGGAAGAGAGAGAGAGAGAGAUGGGAAGAGAGAGAGAGAGAGAGAUGGGAAGAAAGAGAGAGAGGUGGGAAGAGAGAGAGAGAGAGAUGGGAAGAGAGAGAGAGAGAGAGAGAGAGAGAGAUGGGAAGAAAGAGAGAGAGAGAGAUGGGAAGAGAGAGAGAGAGAGAUGGGAAGAAAGAGAGAGAGGUGGGAAGAGAGAGAGAGAGAGAUGGGAAGAGAGAGAGAGAGAGAGAGAGAGAGAUGGGAAGAAAGAGAGAGAGAGAGAUGGGAAGAGAGAGAGAGAGAGAGAUGGGAAGAGAGAGAGAGAGAUAGAGAGAGAGAGAUGGGAAGAGAGAGAGAGAGAGAGAUAGAGAGAGAGAUGGGAAGAGAGAGAGAGAGAGAUGGGAAGAGAGAGAGAGAGAGAGAUGGGAAGAAAGAGAGAGAGGUGGGAAGAGAGAGAGAGAGAGAUGGGAAGAGAGAGAGAGAGAGAGAGAGAGAGAGAGAGAGAGAGAGAGAUGGGAAGAAAGAGAGAGAGAGAGAUGGGAAGAGAGAGAGAGAGAGAUGGGAAGAAAGAGAGAGAGGUGGGAAGAGAGAGAGAGAGAGAUGGGAAGAGAGAGAGAGAGAGAGAGAGAGAGAGAGAGAGAGAUGGGAAGAAAGAGAGAGAGAUGGGAAGAGAGAGAGAGAGAUGGGAAGAGAGAGAGAGAGGUGGGAAGAGAGAGAGAGAUGGGAAGAGAGAGAGAGAGAGAGAGAGAGAGAGAGAUGGGAAGAAAGAGAGAGAGAUGGGAAGAGAGAGAGAGAGAUGGGAAGAGAGAGAGAGAGAGAGGUGGGAAGAGAGAGAGAGAUGGGAAGAGAGAGAGAGAGAGAGAUGGGAAGAGAGAGAGAGAGAGAUGGGAAGAGAGAGAGAGAGGUGGGAAGAAAGAGAGAGAGAGAGAUGGGAAGAAAGAGAGAGAGAGAGAUGGGAAGAGAGAGAGAGAGAGAGAUGGGAAGAAAGAGAGAGAGAUGGGAAGAAAGAGAGAGAGAGAUGGGAAGAGAGAGAGAGAUGGGAAGAGAGAGAGAGAGAGAUGGGAAGAGAGAGAGAGAGAUGGGAAGAAAGAGAGAGAGAGAGAUGGGAAGAGAGAGAGAGAGAGAGAUGGGAAGAAAGAGAGAGAGAUGGGAAGAAAGAGAGAGAGAGAUGGGAAGAGAGAGAGAGAUGGGAAGAGAGAGAGAGAGAGAUGGGAAGAGAGAGAGAGAGAGAGAGAUGGGAAGAAAGAGAGAGAGAUGGGAAGAAAGAGAGAGAGAGAUGGGAAGAGAGAGAGAGAGAGGUGGGAAGAGAGAGAGAGAUGGGAAGAGAUAG
rnacentral:lncRNA from 1 species